GCUGCCUCAGAGGCACUGCAGGUGUGGCUGCUGUGUCAUGCGUGCGUCAGUAGGUGGCAGAGGAGAGAGAGGCUACGUCUACCUAGGCUCAAUGUUCUGACCUAUGAACAUCUGAGUGACUAGUGGUGGAACAUU
ensembl:snoRNA LOC120100432 small nucleolar RNA SNORA17